GGCGACUGCGUUGGAUUUACACCGACACAACGGACAGCGCCUCCCUGGUCUGUUCGGUCGCAAGGACGCCGUUCCGUUGCACGGACGGCAAGCGAUGCAACCGGAUGGGCACGGAAGCGUGCGGCAACAUGGAGCAGUAACAGAUCGUGGCUGCGGGCGACGGGGCCAACACGCCGUCGUCCUGUCUUCCGUGAGUGGAUCCAGCGUGCGGAACCAGCGGACGCGCGAUGCGGGCGCUCGAUCCUCGGGAUGCGGCGUGGAGUCUCCGGCGCUCUCGCUGCUCCCGGCCGCACUAGCGCCUCCGCGCGGGAUGCGACGGAGUCUCCGGCGCUCUCCCUGCUCGCUGCUCUGUCGCUUCGCCCAUCAUGCAGCUGCCCCGCGCUCCACUCCCUCCAACAGCGCAUAGCACUGCCCUCUCCUAGAAAUGCUCUGCCACCUCCUUGCCUACCCUCCUCCAUUGGCCAUCCACGUCUUGGCCACAAGCGCCCUGCCCUGUCGUUUUCCUGGCCUGUCCACACACCUAAGCCCUUCCACGCUUCACGCCCACGGUGCCGGAGACACGCUAACCUGAAAGAAGGUACAUAUAAUUGCAAAUCUUACUACAGAGUGCAAACGAGUGUAUUGGAGCAAGGUCUUAGAUAUGGAGUAAGCAGAUUCCUGAAAUAAUGAGUUUUCUGAACCAUGAAAAUUUACGAACACAAAUCGGUCUUUUUCCUCUUUUCCUUUCCCCGCAGCAGGCGGUGGUAGAGAUUGGCAUUUGCCGGUGGUGACAACGAGGAGGAGGCAACUUCAAUGAUGACGUAUGGUGGCUGCGGCGGCGGUGUGUGUGAGGGGAAUGAGGCCACGACGACGGAUCCAACAUGAUAAGUUCCUUCUCAGCCCCUCCCUUGUUUGCUAGCACCACCGCACCCUUCUCCGCUUGUAGGUUCCCCUUGCUUCUAUAGGUCAACUGGUUUUCUCUGGUCCUGUUGAUUGAUUUGGUUAGCUUUAGCUAGCUUUGUUCAUGCCAUUAAUACUGAGUGAGACUCUUACCAGUGGUGAUAUGUUUAUUUGAUUUAGCAGGGCCUGGUGAUGAUGGCCUUCUUCAGGAUGCGUGAACCUCUGAUGUUGAUGGUCAAGAAGGCAACGACCACAUGACAACAAUGCAAACAAGUGAACCAGAGGCUCCUAUUGCGGACGCUACAAGAAUUUUUUUUAGUAAAUCCGAAACAGCCAUUUACGCAUUAUUAGCUAUUCAUAUUUUCUAUUAUCUAUUAUAUUUUUAGUUGUGUGAGUGCUCAUUGGCUGCUUGCCCACUAUAUACUGUAGGAGGGUGAUAAUGCAAGUACAUCCUUGUGAUAGCUAAUUAGGCAUAAACCCAUGUCCAUGCAAUACAAAUUGUUUGCUUUGGUAAGACCCUGGUACUAUUUACAAGUACAAAAUUAAGCCUGACUUUGUUUCUGUUCUUCCCAGUGCUAUCAUUUAUCAACUGUUUAAAUCAUUCAAAAGAAGGCAAAAAUCAUUGGCCUAGAAGGAAUCAGAAUUAAUAGAAUAUACAUGGUUCAUGAAUCAUGAUAAGAGGGAAUUAUUGAUCAGACAUGGCUCCUAUUACUGUUAGUUUUGAGCAACAACUGAAAAAAAGGGAUAGCUAAAUGCAAAUGCCAGUUCUGUCUAAUUCCUUGUAUUAGCACGACAUUCCUUCUGUAAUGAAAGAAUUUAUUUAAUACUAUAUAAGUAAACUUUUAUUCUAAAUCAUGUAAUGUAUCACAUUGCUCUCAGUGCCAGCUUUUGGAGAGGAGACGGGCGUGGGUGAUCUUAAUGAUUUUUGAGACAUGGUAAAUCCCAACCUAUCUCUUGCCUUUGUCGUUCCUGAUCUGGCAACCUCUUUAAUUAAAUCCCAACCCAAUACUACUUGAUUCGGUGGUUAUUUGCUAUUUAUAAUUAAAUUCGGUCAACGUGGUCUCUCUCUUCUACAUGGAUUCCAUUUCCCUUUUUUUAAUGAAUGAAAAGAAAAAGGGGGUAGCGUAAAGAAAAGCUCCUGGACCAGAAUUUUGUACUUUUUUCCUUCUUAUGAAGUACAUUGGAAUGUCAUUAUUUGUUUUGUCAGUUGUGCCAGUGGAGACUUGAAAAUAUAUGAAUAUAUUUCUCCUCUCUUUCUUUAAGGUUGUCUGUUGCAGAAUAUGUGAUAAUGGAGGUUUGCAUUCAUGGAGCUAUCUUAUUUAUUAGUGUACUUUAGACUGUUGUCAGUUUGUUGAAUGGUGAUAGCAUUUUCAGUUACACAAGGAGCACUUCAGCCAUGCAGAUGCAGGACUGAGAUGCUACUAUUUUUCUGCCAGAACUAUGCCAUGUAACUAAGAUACAUUUUUUUGUCAUUUUACUGAAAAAUAUAUAACUGGUGUCGCUGAUGUAUUGUAUAGUAGUGUUUUUGUCCCCUGUCUUCUCUUUAAUACCAAUGACAUUUUUCAA